rnacentral:snRNA from 1 species
GUGCUCACUUUGGCAGCACAUGUGCUAAAAUUUGAACGAUACAGAUACAGACAGCAUGGCUCCUCAGCAAGGAUAAGAUGCAAAUUCAUGAAGUCUUCCGUAUUUUU